rnacentral:rRNA from 1 species
UACGUAGGAGGCGAGCGUUUGUCCGGAGUUACUGGGCGUAAAGGGUGCGCAGGUGGCCGUGCGCGUGGGGAGUGAAAUCGCCUGGCUUAACUGGGCGGGGGCUUUCCAGACGGCGCGGCUUGAGCCACAGAGGGGGGUAGAAUUCCACGUGUAGCAGUGAAAUGCGUAGAUAUGUGGAGGAAUACCGAUGGCGAAGGCAGCCCCCCUGGGAUAACACUGACGCUCAUGCACGAAAGCGUGGGGAGCAAACAGG